AGAUGUGAUGGCAAUCUGACUGUGACAUCUGUCACNCAUUGAUCACCAGUGUUGAUAUGGCUGAUGCGGCUGGCUAGGCGGGUGUCCCCUUCCUCCCUCACUUCUCCAUAUGUGUCCCUCCCGAAGUUGCAUGUUCUGUGGAAGAGGAUGAAAAUCCUAGAUAGGAGUAUANUGUUCUUUGGUCAAGGGUUAUACUAGAAUUUAAACAGGAUGAAUUAAAUUCAGAUGUUAAAUUCGAUACUCAGAAAAGGUAGUUUGCAGCCAUUUCU
rnacentral:snRNA from 1 species